CUCACCAUCCUUUUCAAUUUCAUCAUGGGCCAGAUCCUUAUUCUCUUCAUUUUUCUCGCUUACUGCUCAGGUGUCGCUUCACAGCCGACAUUGACUCAGGCAGCCUCCAAGUCUGUCUCCCUGGGCCAAGCAAUUAAACUUGCCUGUUCUAAAAGUAGCAGUGGAAACUGGGGCAGCUUUCAUUGGUAUCAACAGAAACCUGGACAGGCUCCUCGAUUUGUGUGGUAUGGCUCCAGCACCAGGGGAGACGGAAUUCCAGAUCGGUUCACUGGUUCUUCCUCUGGGAACACCGGCUAUUUAACCAUCACCAACAUCCAGGCUGAAUACGAGGCCGUUUAUUACUGUGGUGCCUGGGAGUACACUGGUGAUAGCAAGUUCCACAGUGGUGCAAUCUGA